GGGGAUGUGGCUUAGUGGUAGAGCACUUGCCUCACAUGCAUGAAGCCCUGGGUUCAAUUCCCCCCCAGUACCA
rnacentral:tRNA from 1 species